ensembl:rRNA 5S_rRNA 5S ribosomal RNA
GCUUACGGCCACACCACUCUGAACGCGCCCGAUCUCGUCUGAUCUCGGAAGCUAAGCAGGGUCGGGCCUGGUCAGUACUUGGAUGGGAGACCGCCUGGGAAUACCAGGUGCUGUAAGCU